CCUACGGGAGGCUGCAGUGAGGAAUAUUGGUCAAUGGACGAGACUCUGAACCAGCCAAGUAGCGUGAAGGAUGACUGCCCUAUGGGUUGUAAACUUCUUUUAUAAAGGAAUAAAACGAGGCACGUGUGCCUUUUUGCAUGUACUUUAUGAAUAAGGAUCGGCUAACUCCGUGCCAGCAGCCGCGGUAAUACGGAGGCUCCGAGCGUUAUCCGGAUUUAUUGGGUUUAAAGGUAGCGUAGAUGGGUUGUUAAGUCAGUUGUGAAAGUUUGCGGCUCAACCGUAAAAUUGCAAUUGAUACUGGGAGUCUUGAGUACAGUAGAGGUAGGCGGAAUUCGUGGUGUAGCAGUGAAAUGCUUAGAUAUCACGAAGAACCCCGAUUGCGAAGGCAGCUUACUAAACUUUGACUGACAUUGAUGCUCGAAAGUGUGGGUAUCAAACAGGAUUAGAUACCCUGGUAGUC
rnacentral:rRNA from 1 species